CCCGCCAAGCCUCUCAAUGAAGCUCAAAUCGGCGGGU
rnacentral:sRNA from 1 species